rnacentral:piRNA from 1 species
UUGUGAAGAUGUCCCCACAGAUUAGGA